AUUCUCCAAAUAAGAAAAAAUAACAAGGAAGAAGGUGUUUUACUAGCGUGAAAGAAUCGUCAAAUCGGCACAUUCCAAUCAGACGGCGAUCGAUCGAUAGUGGCAAUCUAGUUGGCACUGCAGUGCGUUCAGUUUACGACCUAAUCCGCUCUAGAGUUUCAAAUUAGUUUCAAGUGCGGUGGCGCUCGAUUGACACAUCGAAGCAACCGCAGAACUGGAAAAUCGUCUUUGCGGGGCUUGUUUACAAAGAGACGAUCAGAUUUGAUUUGAUUGGAUUUGGAAUUCGAUCGAAGGUUGCUUCGAUCCAUAUUUUUAUCUUUUUCAAAUGAUUCAUUUGAAAAGAUAGAUCGUUUUAGUUGCAUUAAAACAAGUUAUGUAUUUAAAAAAAGCGAAGGAAAAUAAAAAAAAGUUUUACAACCAAAAAGUAUUCUUAAAGGUUCAUUGUCGAAAAAGUUCACCCAAUAAAUUGUCGAUUAUAUUAAAAUCGAAACCUGAGAUCUUUGACAUAUCGAGCCUGUGCCUUUACAGUAUCGGCCACCAUGGUUUCAUUAGAGAUCCUUAAUAGGGAGACUGGUCGUAGUGAAUUUGACGUACCCAAAACAGACACGAGUUUGACGUCUCCAAACGAGCAUUUGCCUUUACGCCCAGCAAAACUUAUCAGUGUUGCCAAGCUCAAAACAUAAGUUGCCAGAUCGAUUUAGCCAGCUUAGACCAUUCUCCCUGUUUAGGGUCUCUAGGUUUCAUGGGUAUGAAAUGGUCAUUUGCCAAUAAAUGUUCAGUUUUAUUGAACGGAUGAACACAAAUUUGUGUUGGUGUGCGCUAGGGAGAAUUAUUCUCUCGCGAUGAGCACUUUUGAGUUAUUCUCUCGGCAAACAAAUUUUCGAAAAUCAUUUUGUUGAUAUAAGUUACAAGUUAAUAUUGAUUUUGAAAUGUAUUCAGGGCGGCCAGGCAAAAAUAGGUUUAUUUCACAUAUUUUCAGGUCUACACUUCUUGAUUUAUCUUAUUGAACUUAUUUUCAAGUUCAAGUUUUGAAAACACUGUACAUUUAAAUAUAAUUUUAUACAAAAAGUGUUUAUAGUACCGAAAGCCUGGAUCCGUAGUCUUCGUUUCAAAAGAUUGAGCUUCAAAUUAUUUUUGCGAAAAACUCGAAACAUGAGUUUUUUAAUAUUAUUAUUAUUCUAAUAUUUCUAAUAUUAUGUGAUUAAGUCUAAGUUGAAACAAGACGGAAUAUCAAAGUUGUUAAUAAAACAUGUCUUGACCACAGCUUUACAUAUAAUUGAAAGUUAUUUUCAUUUUCGUGAUUGUGUAUGACAAAAAAUCUCUUACCUUAAAAAUGAAGAUUUUCAGAAACAAAAAAAAACACUUUUUCGUGCUUAGCACGUAGCUUGGUAACUCGAACUAUUUUUAAUAAUUUUGCAUUAACAUAAACUGAAUUAAAGAUAUAUUUAAAAACUUUUAAGAAUUUAUGUUUCAAAACCCUCUCCAGCCAAACCUCGAUCUAAAAAUUCACCCAAAAUCCAUUUUUCUACCAAUUUUUGAUCUUUAAAAGUAUAAGAACAAAAUUGAGGUGGACAAAAACAUCGAGCAACAUAAACUCUUCAAUGAAGGGUAAAAAAUUAAACGCGUCAGUGCAAUAAGAAAAGCUGCCGUAUCGUAAUUAAAAUGACAUAAUGAUAAGUUGAAAAACAUUUCCCAGCAAGCACUUUGCAAUCUAAAUGAAAACCUAAUUUCUUUUUUCCACCGAAUCACCCAAGUAAUUUUUCACGAGAAAAUUCCAUUACCAGAGCUGUCAUUUUCGCUCUCACGCCAAUGCGGUCCAAUCUUGAUCCAAGUAGCCACUCCUUAACCUCUCCGCUGACCGAAGCCGAUUUUUCCAGACAGUUGGCCAUGACCUUCGGCCCCCCUCUUAGGAUGACAUCAUCGCGACGACCACUAUCAGACCCGGUGUGCACGUGGCCGUAAUCACCCCAGAGUGGUUCGUCCUUUGUUCAAGUUUUGCUCCAUUUUUCACUGCAAUCGCAGUUAUUAACAAUGUUUGCCGUACUAUUGACAGUUGGUGCAUUCCCGUAGUCAAUGUAGGGCACGUUAUGGAAUGUGUUUAAUGACGAGCGGGCGAUAGACAUCUUAAUUUCGAAUCAGCGGAACUCAUCGUAGUAGCCCGCGAGCGAGACUUAGUCUUUUCCACGCACACUUGUACAACUUAGUAGGCGCCGCGCACGUUCUUACACGGUUUUCAGAUUUGUAUGAAAAUGAAAGAUGAAAAAAAUAUCAAGCCUGGUUAAUGCCAAACGGUCAUUAGUGACGCGUUUUUUCGCUCGCCAACGGCCAUCAUUUUCCAUCAAUCUUUUUUAUCUUUGCAAUUUAGAACAAGUUAAAUUUAACAACAUUUUUUGAAAUAAAAAAACAUUUAUCAACUUAAAAAAUAAACUAAAUUUUUUAUUCGUUACUAGAUUUAAUGAAAAUUAAGCAAAAAAAAAGGUACGUUGAGGGUUAAUUACCCUCUUCUAUGUGUAUAAAAAUGUUACAUCUGUGAGGGUGCAAUAUUACAACGAUUUGAUCGCAAGAUUGUGUGCCCACUGCUGAAUUAAAUUCCCACGAGAUUUGAGAAGCAAACCUAGCAGAAAAACACGUUACUUUGUAUUGAUUAAAUCACUUGUGCUCACAAACAAACGUGAUUUGAACAGCACUAAUUCUAGAAAAGUUAAGCAAACGAUUAUUUACUUUGAUCUAAAUAUAGAUUUCUGCAAAUCCAAGUAACCUGCGCUCAACAGCUCAAAAUACAUGCAACGUUCUUGCCAGCCUCCUUCGAUCAAUACACGCGCGUUCAAAAGUUUGAGAUUUUUCCACUUCAAAAUCUCUCACCAAGUGAGGAUUCUCGCGCAAUGUUUUUUCUUCCAUUUUUGUGUCGCAUUUUGUUUAUUUCAUUCUUUUUGUGUUUGUAAAUACAUCCAGCGAUUGGCUUGCUGACCUUGAUGACUGUUUCUGGGGUUCUGAAUAGAAUACACCUCAUCGAGAUGACAUCAUCGAACCUUGUUUCUGUGUGUUAUGACAAGAAUGCUGAUCAUCAGCGUUCUGGCCGCGUGUCGGUGUGCUUUUGACAGUGCUUGUGAUGACGAUGAUGUUAGUGAUGAUAAUGAUGAUUACGCGAAUCUCUCUGCAUCUGUGUCUGCUCAAGCAAGAACUGAAUAUUGAAUACUAAUUUCGUCACUCGAGUGACGCGUUGUGCUAAACGUUUUAAUCACUUCACAAUCACGAUUUUAAAUGAACGAAUUUUGGAAACAAAUAAACAAUAUCGUCUGAGAAUUUAUCACACUAAUGAUUGCUAGUGAGCACACAGGAAUUUCCCUAAAUGACAGCUUUAGAUGAUAAUUGGUUCUGAAUUUGUAUCAAUUUACAAACUGAGCAUCCAUUUUGUCGGCCAUCUUAUCUUGGCAGCAAACCAAAACAGCAAAAAAAUCGAUUGCUCUUUCAGAUUAUCAUUUGCAAAUCAGCUGAAAACCACAGCAAUUUUUGCCAACAAGUCGCUCGUCAACAAAAACGGACGGAAUAAUAUAAACAUUCUCACAUCAUCGUUCAAAUGGUGGUGAGAAUAUUUUUUCUGGUGAUGACCACCCGCAUCGCAUGCCAACAAUAUAUACACAGAAAAAGACAGUUGACCUUCCGAUUCUCGAUGCGUUGAACUUAAAUUACCAUCAUCGGGGUGUCGUACCCCUUUCGAGGGCCAAAUGAGUUAAUCAGAUCAAGAGUGUCAAGCUGUCGAGUAAUUGUCUGGAGAAGCAUAAUUUGAUUAAAAUAUUGUUUUAAUUGGAUUGAUGUUCAUGAGAGAUUUGCCUUGAUGUAAACUGAUUCUUUCAUAAUAAAUUCUUUUUUAAGAACAA
rnacentral:lncRNA from 1 species